CCUUGGUGGGUUCGCCCACCACUAGGACAAACAUAAACCUUUUGUAAUUGCAAUCAGCGUCAGUAACAAAUUAAUAAUUACAACUUUCAACAACGGAUCUCUUGGUUCUGGCAUCGAUGAAGAACGCAGCGAAAUGCGAUAAGUAGUGUGAAUUGCAGAAUUCAGUGAAUCAUCGAAUCUUUGAACGCACAUUGCGCCCUUUGGUAUUCCAAAGGGCAUGCCUGUUCGAGCGUCAUUUGUACCCUCAAGCUUUGCUUGGUGUUGGGCGUCUUGUCUCUAGCUUUGCUGGAGACUCGCCUUAAAGUAAUUGGCAGCCGGCCUACUGGUUUCGGAGCGCAGCACAAGUCGCACUGUCUAUCAGCAAAGGUAUACGCACACGGUACACUAGUCACUGAAGGGAGGACGUGGCAUCAGAUAGGGCUAUCGGUAGAAAUCAUGCAGCACAAUAAGCGGAGGAA
rnacentral:rRNA from 1 species